UACGUAGGGUGCAGGCGUUAAUCGGAAUUACUGGGCGUAAAGCGUGCGCAGGCGGUUUCUUAAGUCUGAUGUGAAAGCCCUGGGCUCAACCUGGGAACGGCAUUGGAAACUGGCUUACUAGAGUGCGGUAGAGGGGUGUGGAAUUCCCGGUGUAGCGGUGAAAUGCGCAGAUAUCGGGAGGAACACCAAUUGCGAAGGCAGCUCGCUGGGACGUUACGUGACGCUGAGACGCGAAAGCGUGGGGAGCAAACAGGG
rnacentral:rRNA from 1 species